CUGGCAGGUUGACUCCGCCUCCUAGAGCUCAUUCUGAGCUUGCUGGUAAGCAGUGUAGGCCUCUCCAUUGAACUGGACUCUGUGUAGGACUUGUUUUUGCAGAUUUUUGGAAUAUUUAAUACGUUUUUCCAGACACAUUGAAGAUGAUUUCUAAAAGGUAUGUGGUGCAUUAACCAUUCCUUAAAUGUACAGAACACAAAACAUAGUGACAUAUAGGGGGUGCAUGCACAUAGUGAAAUACAGUGGUACACUAUAAAUAUAGGGACGCAGGGUGGUGCAUAGACAAAAAUAAGGACAUGGGAGGACAUGCAAGCAUAGGGACACAGGAGGACACAAUAUAAAUAUAAAAACACAUGGGGGCACAGAAACAUAGGGGCCCACAGACAAACAAAAUAAAAA